CAUGUAGCAAGCACUCAAGAUACCCCGUGAUGAAGUGAUUUACAGAUCUGUCUUCUUCUGUGGCUCUAUCUUUGCCGCUCUGUCUUCCCAGACUGAAGGAACUUGAAUUUUGCAGAUGGUACAAGACUCCUGGGUCUACAACUACAGAGCAAUCAAUGCAGAUGAUUCUAUCUGUAUUUUCAUUUCCAUUGGAAGAAGCAAACGUUGG
rnacentral:lncRNA from 1 species